ensembl:miRNA
UGGCCAAAAUCUUUGUUUCAGUUUUUCCAUAACAGUAUGCCAAACACUCGAACAAACUUUUUGGCCAAC